AUUGAACGCUGGCGGCAGGCUUAACACAUGCAAGUCGAACGAGCGGCGGACGGGUGAGUAAUGUCUGGGAAACUGCCUGAUGGAGGGGGAUAACUACUGGAAACGGUAGCUAAUACCGCAUACCAUCAGAUGUGCCCCGAUGGGCUUAGCUUGUUGGUGGGGUAAUGGCUCACCAAGGCGACGAUCCCUAGCUGGUCUGAGCGGAUGACCAGCAACACUGGAACUGAGACACGGUCCAGACUCCUAAGGGAGGCAGCAGUGGGGAAUAUUGCACAAUGGGCGCAAGCCGGAUGCAGCCAUGCCGCGUGUGUGAAGAAGGCCUUCGGGUUGUAAAGCACUUUCAGCGGGGAGGCGUUACCCGCAGAAGAAGCACCGGCUAACUCCGUGCCAGCAGCCGCGGUAAUAC
rnacentral:rRNA from 1 species